AAACAUCCACCACUCCUUUUUAUCCCUAAAAACCGGCCACCCUAAUAAAAUAGGGUAAUUUUGGGGCUUUUAUGCAAUUACAUAAGUUUUGAUACUUUUGUGUAUUUGUACUUUGACCCGAAAGUUUACGUUUUGACGUUAAGGCCUAAAACGCUAAAGGACAAAUUGUUUUGCUCCUUUAAUGAAGUUUUGAAUUUAUUUAAAUUUUGGGUUCUAGUUGUAUUUACAUGAAGUAGUGACUUUUGUGUUUUUACAAAGUGACCCCAAAAGUUUAUGUUUUCGCGAUAUGGCCCAAAAAGUUGUGGUUAUUGCAUGAUGGCCCAAAUAGGAUGAGAA
rnacentral:lncRNA from 1 species